GAUGAACGCUGACAGAAUGCUUAACACAUGCAAGUCUUUGGCGAAGCUGUGCUCGCACAGCCUAGCCAAGGCGGACGGGUGAGUAACGCGUAAGGAACUUGCCCUGCAGUCAGGGAUAACAGACGGAAACGACUGAUAAGACCUGGUAAAGUCAGGCGGACUCAUGUCCAGCCUGAUGAAAAGAGAUGCUGCAGGAGAGCCUUGCGUCCUAUUAGCUUGUUGGUGGGGUAACGGCCCACCAAGGCGAUGAUAGGUAGCCGGCCUGAGAGGGUGGACGGCCACAAGGGGACUGAGGUACGGCCCUUACUCCUACGGGAGGCGGCAGUGGGGAAUAUUGGACAAUGGGGGCAACCCUGAUCCAGCAAUUCUGUGUGCACGAUGAAGGUUUUCGGAUUGUAAAGUGCUUUCAGCAGGGAAGAAAAAAAUGACGGUACCUGCAGAAGAAGCGACGGCUAAAUACGUG
rnacentral:rRNA from 1 species